GGUGGUUCUUGGGUGACACACCCCAGAAUCAGGCUCCCUCCUCUCUGGUUCUGGGGUGCAUCACCCGAGAACCACU
rfam:Myotis brandtii contig212193, whole genome shotgun sequence.